UCUUGUUACCAGGCAACACAAAAUCUGUAACCUGAAACCCAGCAAGCAUGUAAAUUCCCUUACAAGCCUCCCAGAUGUCCUCACUUCAGGGCCAACAGCUCAGUUUCAGUUUCAAUUUGUUUAUUUACUCUUCUCCAGUCACCAGUGUGGACCUGAGAAUGUUGGAAGAGAGAGGAGAAAGCAAAGGAAAAUGGGAAAAGGAGGGAUUGUGUUUUCUGCACGGGGUGGCAGCCAACAGGAGAGAGAACCAAGGACCUUGCCCCUUCUGCAGAGCUUCUGUGUUGACACAUGAAAUCAGGAUCAAGAAGAAGCUCUGUGCUCAAGAAUAGGAUGCAGUAUCAGAAGGGUCAAGAAGGAAUAUAAAUCUGACCAACACAACACUGUAUCUGCAUCUGACAUUUCAGCUCUUCUCAGUCAACCGUUUCCUGUAGGAGGGAGAGAGAUUACAACUUUGAAGUGAAUACUGAGCAGUAUUUUUCUGAUGUGAAGAUAAUGGAUGUACACAUAUAAAUCCUCAUGACACUAAUAGAUUCACCAUACUACAGAAGAAAGAAAGCAGAUGUUGCUCACAGACGCCUCCCUGGCUGGGACGGGAUGUUCGAAAUCAGCUCAAGCUGAGUCUCACUGCAGA